UCCGUGUUAUCCACGGCAGUCUAACUAGAGUUCCUAACUUAAUAUUGGCAACUAGUUAUAAGGGUUGCGCUCGUUGCGGGACUUAACCCAACAUCUCACGACACGAGCUGACGACAACCAUGCACCACCUGUCUACAUGUCCCCGAAGGGAAAACCUAAUCUCUUAGGCGAUCAUGCGAUGUCAAGUCUUGGUAAGGUUCUUCGCGUUGCUUCGAAUUAAACCACAUGCUCCGCUGCUUGUGCGGGUCCCCGUCAAUUUCUUUGAGUUUCAACCUUGCGGCCGUACUCCCCAGGCGGGAUACUUAAUGCGUUAGCUUCGGCGCAGAAGGAGUCGAUACCUCCUACACCUAGUAUCCAUCGUUUACAGUGUGGACUAC
rnacentral:misc_RNA from 1 species